GAUGAAGAACGUAGCGAAAAGCGAUAAGUAAUGUGAAUUCCAGAAUUCAGUGAAUCAUCGAAUCUUUGAACGCACAUUGCGCCCGCUAGUAUUCUGGCGGGCAUGCCUGUCCGAGCGUCAUUUCAACCCUCAAGCCCCCGGGCUUGGUGUUGGGGAUCGGCGAGCCUCCGCGCCCGCCGUCCCCUAAAUCUAGUGGCGGUCUCGCUGUAGCUUCCUCUGCGUAGUAGCACACCUCGCACUGGGAAACAGCGCGGCCACGCCGUUAAACCCCCAACUUCUGAACGUUUGACCUCGGAUCAGGUAGGAAUACCCGCUGAACUUAAGCAUAUCAAUAAGCGGAGGA
rnacentral:misc_RNA from 1 species